rnacentral:rRNA from 1 species
GACGAACGCUGGCGGCGUGCUUAACACAUGCAAGUCGAACGAUGAAGCCUUUCGGGGUGGAUUAGUGGCGAACGGGUGAGUAACACGUGGGCAAUCUGCCCUGUACUUUGGGAUAAGCCUUGGAAACGAGGUCUAAUACCGGAUAUGAUGAGUCCUCGCAUGGGGGUUUGUUGAAAGUUCCGGCGGUACAGGAUGAGCCCGCGGCCUAUCAGCUUGUUGGUGGGGUAAUGGCCUACCAAGGCGACGACGGGUAGCCGGCCUGAGAGGGCGACCGGCCACACUGGGACUGAGACACGGCCCAGACUCCUACGGGAGGCAGCAGUGGGGAAGUAUUGCACAAUGGGCGAAAGCCUGAUGCAGCGACGCCGCGUGAGGGAUGACGGCCU